rnacentral:rRNA from 1 species
AGAGCGUACGGGGGAUGCCUAGGCUCUCGGAGGCGAAGAAGGACGUGACAAGCUGCGAAAAGCCGCGGGGAGGCGCAAAUAGCCUUAGAUCCGCGGAUGUCCGAAUGGGGGAACCCGGCAUGUGGAAGACAUGUCACCGCGCAAGCGGGGCGAACGCAGGGAACUGAAACAUCUAAGUACCUGCAGGAACAGAGAACAACAGUGAUUCCGCGAGUAGCGGCGAGCGAAAGCGGAGGAGCCCAAACCGGGUCCGUCGAGGCGGGUCCGGGGUAGAAGGACAGCGAGAAGGCGAAGGCGAGGCAGGGGAGCCGCCUGGAAAGGCGGGCCGGAGAGCGUGAAAGCCGCGUACCCGAAACCGAGCCGCAGCUGCGCUGGAUCCUGAGUAGGGCGGGGCUGGAGAAACCCUGUCUGAAACCGGCGGCACCAUCCGCCAAGGCUAAAUACUACCGAGAGACCGAUAGAGGACCAGUACCGUGAGGGAAAGGUGAAAAGAACCCCGGACAGGGGAGUGCAACAGAACCUGAAACCGUGCGCUUACAAGCGGUCGGAGCCCCGUAGAGGGGUGACGGCGUGCCUUUUGCAUAAUGAGCCUACGAGUUGCUUCUCGCUGGCGAGGUUAAGGCGAUUCAGCGCCGGAGCCGAAGCGAAAGCGAGUCUGAACAGGGCGUUCAGUCAGCGGGAGCAGACGCGAAACUUUGUGAUCUACCCUUGGGCAGGCUGAAGGCGCCGUAACAGGCGCUGGAGGGCCGAACCGAUAGCCGUUGAAAAGGCUCCGGAUGACCUGAGGGUAGGGGUGAAAGGCUAAUCAAACUGAGAGAUAGCUCGUACUCCCCGAAAUGCCUUUAGGGGCAGCCUGGCGUCAGAUUCCGAGAGGUAAAGCUACUGAUAGGAUGCGGGGGCUUCGCCGCCUGCCAAUUCCUGACAAACUCAGAAUGCUCGGAAUCGAUGCGCCGGAGAGAGGCGGCGGGUGCUAAUAUCCGCUGCCGAGAGGGCAAUAACCCAGACCCGCGGCUAAGGUCCCGGAAUCUGCGCUGAGUUAAACAAACGUGGUUACACUGCAUGGACAGCUAGGAUGUUGGCUUGGAAGCAGCCAUACAUUUAAAGAGUGCGUAACAGCUCACUGGUCGAGCGGUGUUGCAUGGAUGAUGAACGGGUAUAAGCGCGGUACCGAAGCCCGGGGAUAGCGAUAUCGGUAGGGGAGCAUUCCAUAUGCGCCGAAGGCGGGCCGUGAGGCUUGCUGGAGCGUAUGGAAAAGCAAAUGUAGGCAUAAGUAACGAUAAGGAGGGUGCGAAACCCUCCCACCGGAAGACCAAGGUUUCCUGAACAACGAUAAUCGGUUCAGGGUCAGUCGGGGCCUAAGGAUAAGCCGAAAGGCGAUACCGAUGGACAGCUGGUCAACAUUCCAGCACCCGGCGGCGAAUCGAAGGAGAGACGGAGAAGUGACAGACCCGCGCGCUGACGGAAUAGCGCGUUGAAACGGGUAGGGCAGGCCGGCAGGCAAAUCCGCCGGCCGAUCCCGAGCGUGAAAGUACCGCGGACCCACGGGCGAGCGGACAGCGGUCGUAAGCAAGCUCCCUGGAAAAACUUCUAAGGCGUGUCGCCGCCGGCCCGUACCGGAAACCGACACAGGUGGUCGAGGAGAGAAUCCAAAGGUGCUCGAGUGAUCCGUGGCUAAGGAACUAGGCAAAAUAGCCCUGUAACUUCGGGAGAAAGGGCCCCCGCGCGAGCGGGGCGCAGAGAAAUGGCCCAGGCGACUGUUUAACAAAAACACAUGGCUUUGCGAAAUCGCAAGAUGAAGUAUAAGGCCUGACACCUGCCCGAAGCGUUGAAUUGAAGCCCCGGUAAACGGCGGCCGUAACUAUAACGGUCCUAAGGUAGCGAAAUUCCUUGUCGGGUAAGUUCCGACCUGCACGAAUGGUGUAACGAUCUGGGCGCUGUCUCAGCCACGAGCUCGGUGAAAUUGUAGUAGCGGUGAAGAUGCCGCUUACCCGCAACGGGACGGAAAGACCCCGUGAACCUUCACUACAGCUUUACAUUGAUUCUGGGCAAACGAUGUGUAGGAUAGCCGGGAGGCUUUGAGGCGGGCACGCCAGUGUCCGCGGAGCCGCCGUUGAAAUACCGGCCUUUGUUUGUCUAGGGUCUAACGCGGCGGGUGCCGCGGACAGUGUAUGGCGGGUAGUUUGACUGGGGUGGUCGCCUCCAAAAGAGUAACGGAGGCUUUCAAAGGUUCCCUCAGCACGCUUGGUAACCGUGCGCAGAGUGCAAUGGCACAAGGGGGCUUGACUGUGAGGCCGACAGGCCGAGCAGGUGGGAAACCAGGACAUAGUGAUCCGGCGGUUCCGCAUGGAAGGGCCGUCGCUCAAAGGAUAAAAGGUACUCCGGGGAUAACAGGCUGAUCACCCCCAAGAGCUCACAUCGACGGGGUGGUUUGGCACCUCGAUGUCGGCCCGUCACAUCCUGGGGCUGGAGAAGGUCCCAAGGGUUCGGCUGUUCGCCGAUUAAAGUGGCACGCGAGCUGGGUUCAGAACGUCGCGAGACAGUUCGGUCCCUAUCUGUUGUGGGCGCAGGAAGUUUGAGGGGCUCUGACCCUAGUACGAGAGGACCGGGUUGGACAGACCUCUAGUGUACCGGUUGUAACGCCAGUGGCACCGCCGGGUAGCUAAGUCUGGAAGGGAUAAGCGCUGAAAGCAUCUAAGUGCGAAGCCCGCCCCAAGAUGAGACUUCCAUAGAGGGUGGUCGCAGACUACGACCUUGAUAGGCCGCAGGUGUAGAGGCAGCAAUGUCACAGCCGAGCGGUACUAAUGACCCGAAGGCUUUCCGU